UACGUAGGGGGCAAGCGUUGUCCGGAUUUAUUGGGCGUAAAGCGCGUGUAGGCGGCCAGAUAGGUCUGCUGUGAAAACUCGAGGCUCAACCUCGAGCUGUCGGCGGAAACCAUCUGGCUAGAGUCCGGAAGAGGAGAGUGGAAUCCCUGGUGUAGCGGUGAAAUGCGCAGAUAUCAGGAAGAACACCUAUGGCGAAGGCAGCUCUCUGGGACGGUACUGACGCUGAGACGCGAAAGCGUGGGGAGCGAACAGG
rnacentral:rRNA from 1 species